CAAGCAGGUGGUAUGUAUACUCAGCUGAUAUCGCGAACAUGUUAACAGCUAAUCAAUGUAAGUAUCCCUUCAUUAACACCCAUCCAGGUGUGUUCAUUUCACGUACGUCCCGGCGGCCAGCAGUUCUGCCCAGCAAGCCAAAGCCCAAUAAGCCGACAACAGUUGCUGACGAUGCACGGCCAGGCGGGUGCCGUACAAGGUUUGUGGAAAAUCAUGCUCGCCGUAGAGGACGAGCAUUACAUCGUUGCAUCAGCACCGCCACAUGAGCAUUGACGUGUUUAUGUGUGUCGUGGCAGACCACAAGCACAUGUAUGUUUGUAUGUAUGUAUGUAUGAUGUGUGAAACAGGGGGGUGUAUCUUCGCCCGUGGCAGCUACCCUGCGAAACCCUGCCUUCCCCGGUAUUUCGGGGCACCCUCAUCCAGUCACCCUAGUCAGCUUCUCAGUGGAUCGCUCAGGUUCCCAACACUAGCAUCCAACGAAAUCUGCCGGGUCGACAGCGGCCCAACUCCGUUCCUGGUCGGCUCGCAGGCUAACUUUAUCCCAGUUCAUCACCGUCCAUCAAUUAUAGGCGCGAUGCCUUCCACCAUCGGAAGGAUUUUUGACCCUUACGGGUAUCGAUCCCGGGAUCUCCCGGGGGCAAUGGUCGUGCCUUACCAGUAGUGCCAAACCCUUAUGUAUGUAUGUUUGUAUGUAUGUAUGUAUGUGAGUGUGACGAUGCGGGGGGUUUCUUGGGUGAAGUCAAGAAGGGUAGGAAGAAAGCAAGGCAGCCGUAUCUAUGUUGCGGGUUGCAGUAAGGCUUCGAUCACCUUCGUUCAUUAGGUAAGGUGCAUUUGUUUAGCUGGUCCAUGCGCAACACGAAUCAGCCGUAGUGUGCUGAUGUGUUGCGAUGCGGCCUAGCUGGUGGCGGCUGCUGAGAUCUACGCGGCGGCGGCAUAUAUGCGGUUCGUUGCUUGGCUUUGUGACACAUUCUGCAACGACAUAUCAAUCUACAACGACAUGGAUUUUUUGAAACUCUGUGUUCAUGUUUUGGUAACUGUGCGUACUGCUGCGGCUUUUGCCCGUCUAUGCACUCGCCGCCACGCGCACGUUGCAUUUCAUCUAGAUGUAAAUGGCGACUGAUAUUCAUGAUGAAUCAUGCCAUGACUGUUUUUACGUUUUUUGAAUGUGAAUUUGUACGUAUGUAUGCAUGUAUGUGUCUG
rnacentral:lncRNA from 1 species